GACGAACGCUGGCGGCGUGCCUAAUACAUGCAAGUUGAGCGAUGAAGAUUGGUGCUUGCACCAAUUUGAAGAGCAGCGAACGGGUGAGUAACGCGUGGGGAAUCUGCCUUUGAGCGGGGGACAACAUUUGGAAACGAAUGCUAAUACCGCAUAACAACUUUAAACAUAAGUUUUAAGUUUGAAAGAUGCAAUUGCAUCACUCAAAGAUGAUCCCGCGUUGUAUUAGCUAGUUGGUGAGGUAAAGGCUCACCAAGGCGAUGAUACAUAGCCGACCUGAGAGGGUGAUCGGCCAAAUUGGGAUUGAGACACGGCCCAAACUCCUACGGGAGGCAGCAGUAGGGAAUCUUCGGCAAUGGACGAAAGUCUGACCGAGCAACGCCGCGUGAGUGAAGAAGGGUUUCGGAUCGUAAAACUCUGUUGGUAGAGAAGAACGUUGGUGAGAGUGGAAAGCUCAUCAAGUGACGGUAACUACCCAGAAAGGGACGGCUAACUACGUG
rnacentral:rRNA from 1 species